UCUAAAAUGAGAUUCUAAACUGGAAAUACCUGUUGGCCGCUGGCAGGGAGGGCCACUGGCAGUAGGUGGAGCAUGGAGAUUCCCCAGCAAGGUUAAUUCCCAUCAGAUAACAUCCACCACAGAAAAGGUACCAACCAAGCAGAUGGAAUGACUUAGCCAAAUAAUGUUAACCAGGCUUUGUUGCUGGCACCCCAAUGCUGGCAAAGUGAUCAAUGAACGGAGGAGCCAUGGUGGAGCAAAUGCAAGGGUUCAACGUCAUGGACUCAUCAAGUCUGAUCUAACUACUGCAUCAGUGAAUGUCCAGCUUGCCAGCAACAGAGACCAACACUUAGCCUGAUGUCACCAUUCCUCAAGGAAACCGUCUAGCCACUUGGUGGUGUUGAUGCAGAUAACUCCUCCCAAUAAACUUCCUGCAUGUGAAUCUCCAACACAGAGUGUUUUUGCCAAGAACUCAACCUAUGGCAGCAGCAAACCUCUGUGACUCAAGGAAAUCUCAGUUGGAUGUCCUGUCUCAUCUACUCAAGACCAGUAAGCAACACUUACUU
rnacentral:lncRNA from 1 species